UCAUGUGAUCCUACCAUGUGACCGCUCCACUGCGGCUUACCUUUCAUGGGAAAGUGGUAAUGGGUUCUAGUGGCGGCUGCGGACUGUUGACAGGACCUGCAACUAAAUUCCCAGGGUUGCCAACUUGUAUUGUAGGUUUAGUACAGGUAGCGGCUAGUUCCCAUCCUCGGAAAGGACCUGACGUCACGGUCAUGUGAUCAUACCAUGUGACCGCUCCAUUGCGCAUUAUCCAUUAUUGAGCGGUAGAUUCAAAUAAGCAGAAGCGCUAAUGCAUUGUACCGGCAGGCAGCGAACAUUUCAAAGGACGUGCAGCUUAAUCUCUGGAACUGCCAACUUCUGAUCUGCUGUUGGAUUCCUCACAUCCUGACUCCUUUUGUUGCCAUCAUUUUGUGCAGUUUUCUAUUGUUUUGCCAGGAAUGGAAGUGGUACUCUUUAAAGAAAAUCUUUGGUUUUAUUUAUUGUGUCUUAGAUUUGUUUUAUGAUCCUGCUUCAUGUUUUCAUUUAUGUUUUAAUAAAAUUAUAAAUAAAAUUACUUUUUUGUUUGA